rnacentral:rRNA from 1 species
UACGUAGGGUGCAGGCGUUACUCGGAAUUACUGGGCGUAAAGCGUGCGCAGGCGGUUUGCUAAGCCAGGUGUGAAAUCCCCGGGCUUAACCUGGGAACUGCGCUUGUUACUGGCAAGCUUGAGUGUGGCAGAGGGGGGUGGAAUUCCACGUGUAGCAGUGAAAUGCGUAGAGAUGUGGAGGAACACCGAUGGCGAAGGCAGCCCCCUGGGCUAACACUGACGCUCAUGCACGAAAGCGUGGGGAGCAAACAGG